UCAGGCAGUUUCCAAAUAUUAGUCAAUGCUCCAAAGAGUGAACUAGCUAACUGAAUCAAUUUUUAAAAAUUGAUAACAUAAGGGAAAAUAAUGAUAUUACCUUAUUAUUAGUGUCGUCCAAAUUUGGUGCCAGAAGACUCGGUAAGGCCAGAGACACAAACGUUAAUCGUCUUAAUCAGGCGUAAAGGGUUUGUAGGCGGCUUUAAAAAUUAUUUAAAUAAAAAUUUAAUAAUUAAAGAAUAAAAGCUAGAAUCAAACAGAGGAUAUAUUAAAGAAUGCUUAGAGCAGGUCUGAUAUCCUUAGAUACUAAGUAGAAUAUUAAAGGCGAAAGCUUUUUUCCAUUAAUGAUUGACGCUCAGAAACGAAGGUGAGGAUAGGAAAUAGGAUUAGAUACCCAAAAUACCCCUCUCUGUCAACGAUGAAUGGUAGUUAUUAAUAAAAAUUAUUAUUAAUGACAAUGUUAACACGAUAACCAUUCCGCCUUGUGAGUACAACUGCAAAGUUGAAAACAAAAAAAUUAGUCGGUUUCGGAGCAAACGAAGUGAAGCAUGUUAUUUAAUUCAUAAUCCGCAACAGACUAGUUUUUUUGUUUUCAACUUUGCAGUUGUACUCACAAGGCGGAAUGGUUAUCGUGUUAACAUUGUCAUUAAUAAUAAUUUUUAUUAAUAACUACCAUUCAUCGUUUGACAGAGAGGGGUAUUUUGGGUAUCUAAUCCCAUUUACCAUCCUCACCUUCGUCUCUGAGCGUCAAUCAUUAAUGGAAAAAAAGCUUUCGCCUUUAAUAUUCUACUUAGUAUUCUAAGGAUAUCAGACAUGCUCUAAGCAUUCUUUAAUAUUCCUCCGUUUGAUUCUAGCUUUUAUUCUCUAUUUAUUAAUUUUUAUUGAAUAAUUUUAAGCCGCCUACAAAACCUUUACGCCUGAUUAAGCGAUU
rnacentral:rRNA from 1 species